rnacentral:piRNA from 1 species
UGAGCACACAGAAACGGUGUUGGGUGU